rnacentral:lncRNA from 1 species
GUAAGCUCUAAGCCACAGUGGCAGCAAGCUUCUCCUUCAUUUCAUCUGAGAAAAGAGCAGAAAGAUGAUGAGCCAGAUCAGUUUAUUGUCAAAAAUGAGCUUUCACCUGGACAAUAUUUGGAGGAGAGGAAUAAGAGACGCAGGAUACAGGACUCUAUGGUUAAUGAACCAGUUGCUGGAACAUCAACUUCUAAAGCAUGGAGCAGCUAUCAUCCAAAAAAAGAUCGUGAAAAUUUCAGAAGUACUCUUGUUAACAUCAUCAUGCAGCAAGACUUUACUUUGCAACAGCCUGUUUCACUACAUGAAACCCAGUCUCCAAGAAC